AGUCUCUCUCCUGCUGCCUUGUGAACAAGGUGCCUGCUUUUGCUUCGCCUUCUGCUUUGAUUACACUUGAUUAGCCUUAGGCAGUCCUGUGCAUCACAGCCUUCUGCAAUACCUGCCAGAUCAUCUACAGAAGCUAGGGUGAAAACCCAGGGUAUUAUAUCCUUAGAAUUUAUUUCUACCAGAAAGUUGCCACUUUAUAUAUUCUGCCAACAAGCUUGCUUGCAAGAGGAGAAGCCACUAUUAUUCCCGAGUCAGUGGCAUGAACACGUGGACUGCAGAGAUAACUGAGGUAAGAUUUGAUGAAUGACUUCCUUGUGUCAUUAUAUUCUGAAGUGGCAGUUUCCUGUGAUUCUUAUUCAUACUGAUUUUUUGAACACUAGCAAUGACUUCCCUGAUCCUUGCUUUAUCACUCAUCCCAAAGGUUUGGUAACUUUCCAAUCUCUGUAUUACAUCCCUUUCAGUUUGAAAUCUCAAGCAUAUUCUGUUUUUCUAACCAACCUCUGACUGAUAUGCAGAAUUUCAACAGCUGCCCA
rnacentral:lncRNA from 10 species